UAAGGGCACCACAAGAACGCGUGGAGCAUGUGGCUUAAUUUGACUCAACGCGGGGAAACUUACCGGGUCCGGACACAUUGAGGAUUGACAGGAGCAUACUUCAAAUAGUGUUAUGAUAUUAUUCAUUUAAUAUUGUAAUUCUCAUUUGUUGUAUAUCAAAUAUGCUAGUCCUUUCAUGAUUGUGUGAUAGGUGGUGCAUGGCCGUUCUUAGUUCGUGGAGUGAUCUGUCUGCUUAAUUGCGUUUCACUUAUUUAAAGGCGCACUGCGCGUCGUUUGUUCUUACUGUGUUCUUUAAUUAGACAUGUGGACAAUGUACAUAUGCAGUGACGACCUUGAAGGCAACGAACGUGACCGCAGCCUCUUGUUACCUCUCUAUUAUUUAUUUAAUACUUUCAACUUUCUAUUCGUUAGUCUCUUUCAAUUCUUAUGUUUAGUUCAGUUAUAGUCUAUAUAUUCAUUUNAUAUAUGUCUUACUGNUCUUUCCGUAAGAGUGGGNACUUNGAACGGUUGCAAAGACAGAGGCUAACUAGAGGGACCGCUAGUGCUUCCAAAACAGAGAAGGUUGCGGCAAUAACAGGUCUGUGAUGCCCUUAGAUGUUCCGGGCUGCACACGUGCUACAAUGAUUNNUGCAGUAAGCAUCUCUUCUAAAUUGUAUUUCCUGAGUUUUUAUUAACUCUGUGAAACCGCAGUUGUCGCAUAUUUUGCUAGUGUGAUAUUUAGUCUAUGACUGUGCUUUACUUUUCUAACUACUUCGGUAGGUCUGAAUCGUUUUGCUAUGUUUAACUUUAUAUACACGCAAGUACAUUUUAGUCGACCUGUGUUUAACCUACUUCGAGAUGUCAGUAGGUAAUCAAUUCGAAGUAACAAUUCCCUCGUGGCGCAAAUUAUUGUUGCUUAGACUUGCUUGACGUUUUUAGUAGCUAUUUUUUCUUUUAAAGAUAGUUUACUUUAAACUUAGAGUCUUUGUCAGCAUGUGCUCUAUUUAAUUCGUUGUGGGGACAGACCAUUGCUAAUUGUUGGUCUCGGUCUCAACUAGGAAUGCCUUGNGCGGGUCUGGUUCAACAAACCACCCGGAAUAUGUCCCUGCCUUUUGUACACACCGCCCGUCA
rnacentral:rRNA from 1 species